UGAAUGCCAUCGAUUGUCUUCGUAAUACAACAAAAGAGGAGCGGAUCAUAACAGAAAUCAAGGAGCAGAUAGGCCGGGCCUACCAACACGAUCUAAGGAGCGUGAACCAGGAGGAGUACAAGUUCUGGGCGGAUCUCAUAGAGGCGUGUUUAGCGCCCUCUGCCGACGUGUUUGGUUUUGAGCAAAUUCUCAAAAAAAAAUUAGCAACUCUACGUAACGAGUAGUUAAUGGUAUCGGGGAUCGUGAAUUGUUUGUGGAUCGUCAUUGUGAUGACGUUAUCAAGUAGUAUCGACCUUCAAGUGGCCGGGACAAAUCCAC